UACGUAGGUGGCAAGCGUUGUCCGGAUUUACUGGGCGUAAAGCGCACGUAGUCGGCUUUGCAAGUCGGGUGUGAAAUCCCCGGGCUCAACCUGGGAACUGCAUCCGAGACUGCAUUGCUAGAGUAUGGGAGAGGGAAGCGGAAUUUCUGGUGUAGCAGUGAAGUGCGUAGAUAUCAGAAGGAACAUCAGUGGCGAAGGCGGCUUCCUGGACCAAUACUGACGAUCAGGUGCGAAAGCGUGGGGAGCAAACAGG
rnacentral:rRNA from 1 species